rnacentral:rRNA from 1 species
AUAGGGGAGCCGGAGGGAAACCGAGUCUUAAUUGGGCGUUAAGUUGCAGGGUAUAGACCCGAAACCCGGUGAUCUAGCCAUGGGCAGGUUGAAGGUUGGGUAACACUAACUGGAGGACCGAACCGACUAAUGUUGAAAAAUUAGCGGAUGACCUGUGGCUGGGGGUGAAAGGCCAAUCAAACCGGGAGAUAGCUGGUUCUCCCCGAAAGCUAUUUAGGUAGCGCCUCGUGAAUUCAUCUCCGGGGGUAGAGCACUGUUUCGGCUAGGGGGCCAUCCCGGCUUACCAACCCGAUGCAAACUGCGAAUACCGGAGAAUGUUAUCACGGGAGACACACGGCGGGUGCUAACGUCCGUCGUGAAGAGGGAAACAACCCAGACCGCCAGCUAAGGUCCCAAAGUCAUGGUUAAGUGGGAAACGAUGUGGGAAGGCCCAGACAGCCAGGAUGUUGGCUUAGAAGCAGCCAUCAUUUAAAGAAAGCGUAAUAGCUCACUGGUCGAGUCGGCCUGCGCGGAAGAUGUAACGGGGCUAAACCAUGCACCGAAGCUGCGGCAGCGACGCUGAUGCGUUGUUGGGUAGGGGAGCGUUCUGUAAGCCUGCGAAGGUGGCCUGUGAGGGUUGCUGGAGGUAUCAGAAGUGCGAAUGCUGACAUAAGUAACGAUAAAGCGGGUGAAAAGCCCGCUCGCCGGAAGACCAAGGGUUCCUGUCCAACGUUAAUCGGGGCAGGGUGAGUCGACCCCUAAGGCGAGGCCGAAAGGCGUAGUCGAUGGGAAACGGGUUAAUAUUCCCGUACUUGGUGUUACUGCGAAGGGGGGACGGAGAAGGCUAUGUUGGCCGGGCGACGGUUGUCCCGGUUUAAGCGUGUAGGUGUGUGUUCCAGGUAAAUCCGGUUCACUUUAACACUGAGGCGUGAUGACGAGGCACUACGGUGCUGAAGCAACAAAUGCCCUGCUUCCAGGAAAAGCCUCUAAGCAUCAGGUAACAUCAAAUCGUACCCCAAACCGACACAGGUGGUCAGGUAGAGAAUACCAAGGCGCUUGAGAGAACUCGGGUGAAGGAACUAGGCAAAAUGGUGCCGUAACUUCGGGAGAAGGCACGCUGACACGUAGGUGAAGUGAUUUACUCAUGGAGCUGAAGUCAGUCGAAGAUACCAGCUGGCUGCAACUGUUUAUUAAAAACACAGCACUGUGCAAACACGAAAGUGGACGUAUACGGUGUGACGCCUGCCCGGUGCCGGAAGGUUAAUUGAUGGGGUCAGCGCAAGCGAAGCUCCUGAUCGAAGCCCCGGUAAACGGCGGCCGUAACUAUAACGGUCCUAAGGUAGCGAAAUUCCUUGUCGGGUAAGUUCCGACCUGCACGAAUGGCGUAAUGAUGGCCAGGCUGUCUCCACCCGAGACUCAGUGAAAUUGAACUCGCUGUGAAGAUGCAGUGUACCCGCGGCAAGACGGAAAGACCCCGUGAACCUUUACUAUAGCUUGACACUGAACAUUGAGCCUUGAUGUGUAGGAUAGGUGGGAGGCUUUGAAGUGUGGACGCCAGUCUGCAUGGAGCCGACCUUGAAAUACCACCCUUUAAUGUUUGAUGUUCUAACGUGGACCCGUGAUCCGGGUUGCGGACAGUGUCUGGUGGGUAGUUUGACUGGGGCGGUCUCCUCCUAAAGAGUAACGGAGGAGCACGAAGGUUGGCUAAUCCUGGUCGGACAUCAGGAGGUUAGUGCAAUGGCAUAAGCCAGCUUGACUGCGAGCGUGACGGCGCGAGCAGGUGCGAAAGCAGGUCAUAGUGAUCCGGUGGUUCUGAAUGGAAGGGCCAUCGCUCAACGGAUAAAAGGUACUCCGGGGAUAACAGGCUGAUACCGCCCAAGAGUUCAUAUCGACGGCGGUGUUUGGCACCUCGAUGUCGGCUCAUCACAUCCUGGGGCUGAAGUAGGUCCCAAGGGUAUGGCUGUUCGCCAUUUAAAGUGGUACGCGAGCUGGGUUUAGAACGUCGUGAGACAGUUCGGUCCCUAUCUGCCGUGGGCGCUGGAGAACUGAGGGGGGCUGCUCCUAGUACGAGAGGACCGGAGUGGACGCAUCACUGGUGUUCGGGUUGUCAUGCCAAUGGCACUGCCCGGUAGCUAAAUGCGGAAGAGAUAAGUGCUGAAAGCAUCUAAGCACGAAACUUGCCCCGAGAUGAGUUCU